rnacentral:tRNA from 1 species
CAGAGGGUAGCUAAACAGCAUAGCAUCUCCCUUACACCGAGAAGACGCCCGUGCAAUUCGGACCGCCCUGA